rnacentral:lncRNA from 1 species
GCAUUCUUUGUGAGUGAAGUUGCUUUUAAGUAAAACGGCAGCAAUUCAUUACACAUUCUGUUUUAUUUUAUUUUUCUUUAUCAGAAAAAAAAAAGGGAUGUCGUCUUUGGGGCUGGAGGGGGCAGCUGCAGAGGUGGUGGGAGGAGACCUGGAACUUUCUGGAAGAAGCACACUAUUUUUGGCAUGAAAAAGCCGAUAGAUUCAUACAUCUGAAUUAUGGUGCUUCCAUUUUUUUUUUUUUAACUGAGAGAGCGGAGGCUUCCUCUCCCCCCACCUCCUUCCCAGGCAAAUGGCAGGGAUGGGCACUUGGGUGUGUGUGUGGGGGCUGUUUCAUAGUCUGCCUGAGGGGUGGGCAGGAUUGAGGCUUGCUCUGGUGAGUGGACAGGGAUGGGUACUUUGGGGGGUGGGGAAUGCUGAUUCAUAGUCUGCCUGAGGAGUGGGCAUUGUUUUUGGCUUUAGCAUUCUAUCAGAUACUGCAGCUGAGGGCUGUGCUUGGCUCUCACUCAAGUUCCCCGGCUUCUUCUGAUCUGUCAGCCUCCUGCCCUGACUCUUGCAGUUACAGCUCUGCCGUGGAGGGAAAGGGGAGUAAGCUGCUGCCCCGAGUCAGCUCUGCCUGCUUGGAGGGAGCAGAACAAGUCUGUAUUUCCCAACACGGGCCAGGCCCUGCCUGCUCCCUGGUCUUCCUUUGUUUCCUGGGAAUCUGAGGAACCUGGUACCUGGGUUCCUUUCAAUGGAUGCAAGACAUGCAGGUCAUAGAGAUGUAGUCCAACCGUUGGUUUAGUCUCAGGCAUUUUGCUUAACAUUGCAGUGUAAGCUGCUGUUAACCAAGGGCCAGGGGUGGAGGGAACAAGUCAUCUCUUGCUCAGAGGCACCAGGGGAAUCUAGAACAGAAACCCAUACCUCUGUACCUCUGAAAUUUAACCUUUGUCAUCAAACCUUAUAAAUUCCUCACCGAAGACAUUCAACCCUGUGUAGGUGAGGGUGUCAGAAACAGCCCCUUUUAGAGGAGGGGGGAGGUCGGUUUCGUCUCCAUAUCUCCUUGUAGGAGGUGCUCACUGAUGUUGCUGCUGGAUACUUCAUGUUCUCCAGUCACAAGGUUUCCUGCCCAGGUGAAGGUGUGAACUGUUGACACAGCACAGCCACUGGAAGACAACAGUGUCAGCAGGGAGACUGCAGCUGUCAAUCAUUCUGCUCUCUGAUAGAGGAGAAUGAUGGAGACCUUGAAUGUGGACUUGGGCAUCGUUGUCUUGGAGCAUUGGUACCGUUUAUGAUUAACAAACAGUUCUCUCACUCUACGUGCUCCUGACUGAACCUUCCAAGAAAUGGAUCCUAACGACAGAGCAAGCAUUCCUAGCAGAAGCAGCCCCCAGGUGAGGCAAUUUAAAUGCAAUCAUCCACAUUUUAACAGAGGCUGUUUCGGGUGUGAUAUCGAAGCUUUGGAUCUAACAUCGAUGUUUCUGCUCGUAGGGCAGGUCCACUAAUGCCCAAGUACACACUCAUAUUUACAUGUGCAGAGACACAGAAUUUGCGUGCACUCAUCUGUUACGCACGGUGUCACGUUCACUUGUGUGUACAACUCGUCACACAUGUACCCAAAGACAUGUAUCCCGCGUUAGAUGCAUUCACGUCUAGAUGCUCAUGGGCACGGCAUUUAUAAUUAUGCACACAGCUGUAUGCCUCUAUGUUCACAUCAAAGCAUGAUUGAUUACACAUGCGCACAGGCCCUUGCAAAACGUACAGGGCUCCUGCGCAGCCUCCUGUAUUCACACCCGUGUGUUGUAAGUGAAUACUGGCCUUCCUGCUCAUCCACACACAGGCGCCAUGUAACAAGGGAAACAUGGCACCAGUAGGGUUAAUGGAGGCCCCAGACUCCCAUAAAUAUUUAUAGGAAGCACUCAAGCUCUCAAAGUAGGAGCUGAAACCUCUCCUCUUGAGCCCCUGUAAAUCACUCUGGGCUGCUGCGUGUUACCUGUCAGAUCGGGGCUGUGUUCUGCAAAGGCAUCGCAUACAGGCUAGAACUGCUGUUAUUCAGGGGCCAGGGGUGAAGGGGCCUAGGCCAUGUGAUCAUCUCUUGCCUUGCUCAGAGUCACCAGGGGGAGGGUCUAGAGCAGAAACCCAUGCCUCUCUAGUGCUGAGAUUUAAUUUUUGUCAUUGAACCUUAUAAUUCUUCUAUAAAUUCCUCAUCAAAGACAUUUGACCCUUUGUAGGUGAGGGGGUCAGACUCCUCUGUAGUUUGCACAGGUUGGUCAUCCCAGUGCCUCGCCAGGCAUCCAAUGAGCAUGUCAGGGUCAGUGCUCGCUACUGGGAUACGUCCUCAAGGGUCACUGUGAAGCAGCUCAGUGAUGGGCACAGAGGCAUUUUGUGACCAUGAGAGACUCUGUUGCACUGCUGGUGGCCACCCGAGUGGAGUGACAGCAUCUCAGGUAGGGUGAGGAGGAAUGGUCCUGGUAGUGGGGGGAGAGGGAGCUGCUUCAGAGGGAGAGCUAUUCUCUCUCACCAGCUUUGUACCUCAAAGGCCUACUGGAUCUCAGAGUCCCAAGCUGCUGUGACUGUGUCCAUUGCAAAUUCUGUGCUUGGUUUUUGCCACCUGAAACAGAUCAUUUUCAUGCUGGACACUCUUCAAGAUUAGAUAAAACAAGGACCGGAAAGCAUCAAAUGUUUUUCAGUUUAGUUUCCAAUGUGAUAGGAAAGUAGAGAUGUCCUUCAUGUAGCACACGGAACGUCCACGUGCCAACAGAAGACAGUAGCCAUACAGGAAAGCAGCCUGACCCUUGAAGACAUUCACACAACUGUGGAAGAGCAGAGAAAGAGCAGUCAGAAGGGGCUUCCUGGAGUUGUUGGUGCAUGAACGAGAGCUGAAGUCUGAAUAGAAUUUAUCCAAGUCAAAUGAGUAGGAGAACACUCUGGAUUAGCGCCAUCCCAUGGAUGUUUCUAAGGUAACAGAAAUUUUCUGUAUUUUUUUUCCAUCUACAGGUGGUGACUGAGACUUUGAAUGUGGCUCAAGCAACUGAGAAUCUGAAUUUUUUUUUGUGUGUGUAGUAUAUGUGUAUGCAUACGUUCCUGUAUACUGUGCUGUAUGUGAAUGUGCAUACGUGUGGGUGCAUGUCCAUAUGCACGGGAGUGGGGGCAGAGGUCAACAUCAGCUGUCUUCCACAAUUGCUUUCCACUUUAUCGAUUAAUGCAGAGUCUCUCAGUGAACUCGGAGCUCAUUCGUUAGGCUAGACAGGCUGGUGAGCAAGGCCUGGGAUUCCUUCUGUCUGUCUCCUCCUUCCCAGCCCUGGGAUCACAGAGGCAAUGCCUUCUGUGGCCACUAGGGACCAAACUCAGAGUUGAUACUUUUCUAACAAGUACUUUAUCAUGUGAGUCUUCCCCCAACCUGCACAUCUGUCUGCCUGUCUUCAGUACCAUCAUUUGUCUUUUGUCCAUCUAUGUUCUUUUUCUGUGUUAUCUGGAAUUCUAAAACAAAAC